rnacentral:tRNA from 1 species
GAUUAAAUGGCUGAUAAAAGUAAUAGAUUGUAAAUCUAUGCAUGAAAAUAUUUUUCUUUAAUCA